UGAAAAAGAAAGUAAAGCAUAUAACGGAUGCCUUGACUUAGAGUUCCGAUGAAGGACGUGGGAAACUGCGAUAAGCCUCGACGAGUUGUUAACAAGCGUUGACUCGGGGAUUUCCGAAUGGGGAAACCCGCAUAGAUUCAUAUUUAUGCAUUCAUACCUGAACACAUAGGGUAUGUAAAGGAUACUCGGAGAACUGAAACAUCUCAGUACCCGAGGAAAAGAAAUCAAUCGAGAUUCCCUUAGUAGUGGCGAACGAACGGGGAGAAGCCCAAACCGUCUUUAUGGCGGGGUUGUAGGACUCCAAUGUGACGACUUUUUAUAUAGACGAAAAAAGCUGGAAAGCUUUGCCGAAGAAGGUGAUAGCCCUGUAGUUGAAAUAUAGAAAUAGUCUAGGAUGAUCCUGAGUAAGGUCGGACACGUGUAAUCUGGCCCGAAGCAGGGGGGACCACCCUCCAAGGCUAAACAGACUCUAAGAUCGAUAGUGAACUAGUACCGUGAGGGAAAGGUGAAAAGAACCCCGGGAGGGGAGUGAAAUAGAACCUGAAAUUAUAUGCUUAUAAAGAGUCGGAGCUUCACGCUUGCGUGUUGUGACGGCGUGCUUUUUGUAGAACGAAUGAGCGAGUUAGUUGUAUGUGGCAAGGAUAAGUCAGUAAUAGACGAAUCCGUAGCGAAAGCGAGUCUUAAUAGGGCGACGAAGUCGCAUGCACUAGACCCGAAACUAGGUGAGCUAUCCAUGGUCAGGCUGAAGCGGUGGUAAGACAUCGUGGAGGGCCGCACACGGACGUGUUGCAAGACGUCGUGAUGAACUGUGGAUAGGGGUGAAAAGCCAAUCGAACCUAGAGAUAUCUGGUUCUCUCCGAAAUAGCUUUAGGGCUAGCCUUGAGCGUUAAAUUGUGGGGGUAGAGCACUGUCAAGACUAGGGCUUCCCAAAAGAGGUACCAACUCUUAACAAACUUCGAAUACCACAAUGUAUUUCUCAGGAGUCAGACUGUGACAGCUAAGUGCCAUAGUCGAAAGGGAAACAGCCCAGAUCGCCAUCUAAGGUCCCUAAUAGAAUUUAAGUGGGAAAGGAUGUGAGAGUGUUAAAACAACCAGGAGGUUGGCUUAGAAGCAGCCAUUCCUUUAAAGAGUGCGUAAUAGCUCACUGGUCGAACGCUCUUGCGCCGAAAAUGUAACGGGGCUAAAUUUCUAACCGAAGAUGCGGAUUGUAUGAUUUAUCAUACAGUGGUAGGAGAGCGUUGUAUUCAGCGUUGAAGUCGAACUGCGAGGUUCGGUGGAGUGGAUACAAGCGAAAAUGCUCAUAUGAGUAAGUUAAAUAAAUGUGAAAACCAUUUACACCGUAAGACCAAGGUUUCCCACGCAACGACAAUCGACGUGGGGUUAGUCGGUCCUAAGACGAGGUCGAAAGACGUAGCCGAUGGACAUCUGGUUAAUAUUCCAGAACCAGUAUAUUUCCGCCAAACACAAUUCGUUUUGAAUAUUUUUUUGAGCUAGCUAAUUUUUUACUUUGUAAUCAAUUAAUUGGCAGAAAGAGGGCUAGGAAUGAGGCGUGAGCAACGGAGUGACGCAUUUUGAUAGUCAGAGCCUAUUAAUGAAUUUAGGUGUAAGUGUCUAGGCGUUGAUUCUUAUAGGUAAAUCCGUAGGAAGAGCUGAAGCACGAUGCCGUUUAUAUUGUAGCAAUACAGUAUAAGUCUGGUGAGUCAAGGUGACUAGAAAACCUUCUAGCGAGGAAAUAUGCUGACCGUACCGCAAACCAACGCAGGUGGUCGAGUCGAGUAGACUCAGGUGCUCGGGAAAACUAGCGUAAAGGAACUCGGCAAAAUAGCGUCCGUAACUUCGGGAUAAGGACUGCUCUCAUUUUUAAUAUCGAGAGCCGCAGUAAAAGAGCGCAGGCGACUGUUUAUCAAAAACACAGGUCUCUGCAAACUCCCAAAGAGGAAGUAUAGGGGCUGACCCCUGCCCAGUGCCAGAAGGUUACGAGGAGAGGUUCACGCUUCGAAUCUAAGCCCUGGUGAACGGCGGCCGUAACUAUAACGGUCCUAAGGUAGCGAAAUUCCUUGU
rnacentral:rRNA from 1 species